GUCAGAAUGUGCGCCGCUAACUGCUUUGUUGACUAUUCUGUGCAAUGGCGGAUGUAGCCCAAAUCGUGCUUAUAAUAACUGUGCUGCUAACAGGGCUUCUAACAUGUAUACCGAUACAUGAUCAGUUAUAUAACUAUGUUGAGGAACAAAGGAGUCAGAAUGCAAUUCUACGCAGGGCACUGCUAAUGACAACACUCGUCCCGCGACACAGACCCCCGCCACCGGUUUUGGACGAGACCCGGUCGGACCUCUAGUUGGUAUUGGGUGUUCCUGUAAAGGAUCUACACUUUGCUUUGUGCUCUGUAUCAAAGGCUCUGUAGUAAAUGUGAAUGUGGCAGUGUAAGGGGUGUUCAGUAGCAGUUGCAAGUAGGUCCGAGCUACUUAACCAUUACAAACUCAAACAUCCACAUUUUGGACGUACUGUCCGCUAUCCAUGUACAUAUUGGAAAUGUCCAUGCUCAUUCAAGACAUGGAAUGCUUUAAUCGUUCAUCAAAGAGUGCAUUCCACACACGUUUGUCACACUCAAAAAGAGCUGUAUACUUUCAGCUGUCACUUAUGUACAUGUAAACAUUUAUCAAAUGAAAGGGAGUUCUUUGUUCAUAUCAACACCCAUCUGAGGAAAAAUGAAAACGUUUGUUGGCUGUAGUUUUCAAACUAGCAUUUAUGGAACCUUUAAGUCUCAUAAGAGCCGCCAACACACACCUCACACACUAACUAAACAACAACAUUACCACCUCCAUCAGUACAGGAUUCAAUUGCUGAUUGCCAGGAUGAUGAGUCUGUAGACGAGGAAGUUUCUGGGACAUCCCUAGAUCCAGGUCAACAGCAGGACUUCCUUCAUCCAAGCCAUGGAGGAGGCCUGUGACCAGAUGGAGGUAGCAGCAAUGCAAGGAUGGAUUCGUCAUUCAAGACGUUUCUUUCCAAGGUGUCUUGCUCAUGACAACAUUGCCUGCGAUGUUGAUGAAAUUCUCAGAUCCAGCUAGGCGAAGAGACAAUGUCUAGUUGUUGUUUUUUUAACUUACAAUACGUAAAGUGACGUUUGGGCGUGUUGAGAAAUAAAUGAGUUUCUUCAGUGCAACAUUUGUCUUGUGUAAUGUUUGGUGAAUUUACAUUAUAUUUGUACUUUGUUGAUAGUAGCCUACUGUAAUCCUAGGGAAGUAGAAGUGCUAAAAGUGUUUUAGGUUUAUCACAGCAGCGUGUAACUCGUGCAAACAGUAUAGUAAUGUGAAACGUGUGUGCUUCAUAUGGUGAAAUGCAGAACUCCAUUCAGGGUCACCAAAAAGGCUGAAUACUGUGAGCUGCAGACAAGUCAGAGUUUCUCUCUUCUUCCCCCCCCCCAAGGCGCAGGGAGGCGACCCUUUUGUCACUCCAAUGUAGCAGCACUCAGCCGGGGACUUAUGAGUGCGCCUCACACCAUGGGCCACUCCAGAGUAGAAUAGUGUCCAUCCCCUAUCCAGGAGUGUGGUUCCAGAGCCGAGGCUGUGCGUAGAGGUAAGCCCCACCAGAUCCAACUGAUAACGCUCCACCUCCCGCACAAGCUCCGGCUCCUUCCCCCCCCACAGAGGUUAGGUUCCACGUCCACAGAGCCAGCCUCUGCCUCCCAGGUCUGUUCCGUCUAGACCCCCCACGGUCACUGCCACCCUUGUAGCAGCGUGGGUUUCCCCCACAGGUGGUGAGCCCAUGGGGAGUAGAGUCUUGGGUUGCUGCGUCACUCCUUCAGGCUGUCCCCGGCCGGGCUCCGCGGCAAGCCCGGCCACCAGACGCUCGCUGUCGGGCCCUCCAUCUGGGCCUGGCUCCAAAUGGGGGCCCUGGGCUUCCUCCGGGCCGGGUAACUCCUUCCCUCUUCAGUUUUUUUUAAUAGGGUCAUGAAUAAUAACGGAGUAUAUUUUUAGAUGCCACGUAGAUGCUCUUAUUGCCAGUCUCAGGCGGUUAAGAGGGUGUGGGAUGGUUGUGAGCGAAUGACGCCUGAAAAUCCUCACCUUGUUUCUAUAGGUAUGUAGCCAUCUCCUUUCCUUUAUUGCCGUCCUGUGUACAUUAUUUUGUGUGUUCAACUGGAUGAUAUUUUGUCAUUUUUAUUUUACUUUCAUUGACAGCUCCUGAAAUAGGACGUCGUCAUGCAGUGAAGCCAUGGCCAAUUUCCACCUUCACUGGAAAGCAAAAAAAGUAUAAGUUUUCCUUAUGGUUGAAAUGCACUAAAUGACACGUAAUGUUUGUUAGUUUGUACUGCUUGUAGGAGCCUCCCAUCUGCGAAGCAUUGUCGAUGGUUUUGUGGUGACUCCAGCAGAUCUUUCCAUUGGCAUCAUGUCUACUCUGGGGGCCUGUGCAAAGCACUUACGGACUGAGGUGCUGAAUGCUGUUGUGCCCGGUCAUCCAGAUGUUGUUGUCCUUUUGGGGCCAGGAAAUGACUUGACCUGGGGUAAUACAUCUUCAGAUGUUGUGUAAUUUGUUAGCUUGAGUUAGGAAUUGAGAAAAUUGAUUUACUGAACAUCUAUAUAUUUUUUUGGUGGUAGUGGUGGAUUUUCCUCAGAUACCAAGGUUUGUCCUCACAUGAGCUUUGGUGCAGAGACAAUUUGAGUUAAAUAUGCAGAUGUGUAGAAGUGUGAUUUACACAAAUAGUUAGAUUGUAGCUAUCCAGAUCCAUAUUGAUUGACACCAUACGUGUAGAGGCUAGUGAAUUGGCUGUAACAUCUAAAGAAUUGGGUGUGUUUCUGAAACAGAACGCUGUGUUUGACAUAAGCGGGGGCAGUUGAUUUGGGCAAGCCAGAGAGGUACAGCUUGCAGGGGUUGACCAAUGAGUCUGUGGUAAAGGAAAAGAUGAAAUGUUCGAUAGAGAUGGAAUGCGUUAUUGUGCCUUAAUGGAGCAGUCAGUCACACGAAAAGUACUUUGUGGUUGUAGAUUUUGCCGUACGUAAUGACUCUGGGCUGUCAUGUGAAUUUGGCCGGUCUGUGGCACACCAUGUCAGGCAGCUGUGAUGGUGACAGCAGUGGUGACAUGAAUGUUGCAAUUGAUUUUCAGGCAAGCAGUUCUGUCGACAACAGCAUGAAUGUUUCAACUGAUGUUGAAGGAAGCAGUUCUGUCAGGGACGAUAGGAGUAUAAGGAGAUCCUUUCACCAGGGUGAUGACAGGUUUGAGUUUGGAGGAGUUCAGUGCAUGGCCACAGCACUGUUUCGUAUGGCAAAACAGUCAAGAGAGUGUUUUGUCAUUUAGGUGUCAGUUGUACAAAGAUUUGCGAAAAGAAAUCUUCAGCAGCAGGUCUGGUUGGUUGUGUGUUUCUGAUUUUCCCAAGCAGAGACUUGUUGACGGACAAGAGUUUACCUUUCAUUAGGGUAGGGACUUUGUGUCAGGAGAUGUUGUUGAAGGUAUACUCAGAAUGGUAGCUACUCCGGUCUUCUGACGCUGUGUUGCAAUACAUGCGCAAUCAUUCGUGACAAUGGACAGUAUGCAGUGGUUGACUCGCAUGCACGCAAUGCUUGUGGCAUGGUUUAUGGAGAGGGAAAGUGUUCUUGUAUAUUUUUCUUCAAUGGAAGGUGUAUUCCAGGACAUUUUCCUUUUAGUCUCAAGGGUUUGGUAAUCAGCUAAAGUCUUUUGCGAUAAGUGGUGUUCGUGUCACAGACUGCCUCCGUUUGAAAAACCAACAGCUCUGUGUACCAAUCCUAUAACAUUUGGAAAUGCUUUGUCCGAAGUCUGUUCAGAACGCGUUGGGAUCAAAUGUACAAAAGCUGAACGAUAAAACAUCUCAAGCCAAUUCAGAUGUUGAAUUUAUCCAUGAAGUUGUACAAAACAACCUGAAGCAUGUCACAAGCUCUAUGCAAAGAUUUAAAAAUGAAAUAUGCAAAAACAAAGUUGAUCCUACAUGUUUUGGUUCCAUUGGGAGUUCCAUGUAAAAAAAAGUAAUUGCUUCUUUAUACAAUACUGGAUAGAAAAAUUGUGUGUCCUGCUACUUUUUUGGAAUGGACAUAAUAGGCCUUACGAUUCCUGCACUGUCAAAAAAGUUGAUGGCCAAAGCCUUUAUAAUGUUUAGAUGUGUUAUCUACCCAGCAAAUGUUUUUGCUGCUGCAAUUUCCAUUCCUUUUG
ensembl:lncRNA